CUUUAAUCGCUUGUACGUAUAUUACCGUAAUUAGUCGGUAUGCUAUUAUAGCGUUAUAUUCACAGUGGUCAGGUGAUCGUCGUAACAGGUGUGACGCAUUUGGGGCACGUGCGUAUUAUUUGACUCAUUAUAUCAAACACGGCGAAGUGUAUUAGUUGGUUGCCACCUGUUAUACUCGUAAUCUGAACUGCACCUGCACUUUGUUGAGAACGUCUUCGAACGUCCUUGAACCCUGUAAAACAUCCUUCAGCGUCCUUGCGCCGCCAUUGCACCUCGCCAUACGGAGUCCGAAGAUAAUUCAACGCGUUUGCUCGGAAAUAAAUAAUCUGCCAUGAUUAGAAAACAUGCUUAUUCAAUUGCUGUAUAAUGCAAAUAUAUUUAAUUUAUAGUCGUGAGUAAAUCAAG
rnacentral:misc_RNA from 1 species